UUAACGUAUAAUAAUAUAGUAUUUAUUUUCGAAUUUAUAAUGAAAUGUAUUACAUUGCCUAUGUAUAUAAUAUUGUGAUUGUAAAAGUUUGUGAAACAUAAAAAUAUUUAUUUAAAUUCAUUAUAUUAUGGGUACAAGAAGGUAUCUGAUAUUUCUGUGCCUGUCCCAUUCGAUAUUAAAUCUAAAGUUAAAUUACAAACAUAGGUAUAAAACGAAUAUUUACAUGAAAAUCGUACCGACUAUUCAUACAUUCUUUGUGAUGAAUCUAUAUAAUACGAAAUAUAAUAAUAUUAUCCGUAUCAUUAUUUACUCUAAAUAUUUAUUCGUCUCGUACAUUGAAAAUCCUAAGGGGG